GGAAGUAAAAGUCGUAACAAGGUCUCCGUUGGUGAACCAGCGGAGGGAUCAUUACCGAGUUUACAACUCCCAAACCCCUGUGAACAUACCUAUACGUUGCCUCGGCGGAUCAGCCCGCGCCCCGUAAAACGGGACGGCCCGCCCGAGGACCCCUAAACUCUGUUUUUAGUGGAACUUCUGAGUAAAACAAACAAAUAAACAAAACUUUCAACAACGGAUCUCUUGGUUCUGGCAUCGAUGAAGAACGCAGCAAAAUGCGAUAAGUAAUGUGAAUUGCAGAAUUCAGUGAAUCAUCGAAUCUUUGAACGCACAUUGCGCCCGCCAGUAUUCUGGCGGGCAUGCCUGUUCGAGCGUCAUUUCAACCCUCAAGCUCAGCUUGGUGUUGGGACUCGCGGUAACCCGCGUUCCCCAAAUCGAUUGGCGGUCACGUCGAGCUUCCAUAGCGUAGUAAUCAUACACCUCGUUACUGGUAAUCGUCGCGGCCACGCCGUAAAACCCCAACUUCUGAA
rnacentral:sRNA from 1 species